rnacentral:rRNA from 1 species
AUUGAACGCUGGCGGCACGCCUAACACAUGCAAGUCGAGCGGCAGCAUGCUUAGUAGCAAUACUAAGUGAUGGCGAGCGGCGGACGGGUGAGGAACACGUAGGAACCUGCCCAAGAGAGGGGGAUAACUAAGGGAAACUUUAGCUAAUACCGCAUAAUCUCUGAGGAGAAAAGCUGCCCGCAAGGGUAGCGCUUUUGGAGGGGCCUGCGUCCGAUUAGCUAGUUGGUGAGGUAAUAGCUCACCAAGGCGAUGAUCGGUAACUGGUCUGAGAGGACGAACAGUCACACUGGGACUGAGACACGGCCCAGACUCCUACGGGAGGCAGCAGUGGGGAAUCUUGGACAAUGGGGGCAACCCUGAUCCAGCGAUGCCGCGUGGGUGAAGAAGGCCUUCGGGUUGUAAAGCCCUUUAGGCUGGGAAGAAGUGUGCGGGAUGAAUAAUCCUGUACAUUGACGGUACCAGCAGAAUAAGCACCGGCAAACUCUGUGCCAGCAGCCGCGGUAACAC